rnacentral:tRNA from 1 species
GCGCCAUUAGCUCAGCUGGUAGAGCAGCUGACUCUUAAUCAGCGGGUCCGGGGUUCGAAUCCCUGAUGGCGCA